rnacentral:rRNA from 1 species
GUGGGGAAUAUUGGACAAUGGGGGGAACCCUGAUCCAGCCAUGCCGCGUGUGUGAAGAAGGCCUUUUGGUUGUAAAGCACUUUAAGCAGUGAAGAAGACUCUUCGGUUAAUACCCGGGGACGAUGACAUUAGCUGCAGAAUAAGCACCGGCUAACUCUGUGCCAGCAGCCGCGGUAAUACAGAGGGUGCAAGCGUUAAUCGGAAUUACUGGGCGUAAAGCGAGCGUAGGUGGCUUGAUAAGUCAGAUGUGAAAUCCCCGGGCUUAACCUGGGAACUGCAUCUGAAACUGUUAGGCUAGAGUAGGUGAGAGGGAAGUAGAAUUUCAGGUGUAGCGGUGAAAUGCGUAGAGAUCUGAAGGAAUACCGAUGGCGAAGGCAGCUUCCUGGCAUCAUACUGACACUGAGGCUCGAAAGCGUGGGUAGCAAACAGG